GAUGAACGCUGGCGGCGUGCCUAAUACAUGCAAGUCGAGCGAACAGACGAGGAGCUUGCUCCGCUGACGUUAGCGGCGGGCGGGUGAGUAACACGUGGAUAACCUACCUAUAAUACUGGGAUAACUUCGGGAAACCGGAGCUAAUACCGGAGAAUAUAUUGAACCGCAUGGUUCAAUGGUAAAAGACGGUUUUGCUGUCACUUCUAGAUGGUUCCGCGCCGUAUGAGGUAGUUGGGAAGGUAACGGCUUACCAAGGCAACGAGGCGUAGCCGACCGGAGGGGGUGGUAGGCCGCAUGGGAAGUGGAACAGGGUCUAGACUCCUACGGGACGGAGCAGAAGGCAACCUGACGCAAUGGGCGAAAGCAUGACGCAGCAACGCCGAGUGAGUGAUGAAGGUCUUCGGAUCGUAAAACUCUGUUAUGAGGGAAGAACAAAUGUGUACGUAAAUAUGCACGUAUUGACGGUACCUAAUCAGAAAGCAACGGCUAACUACGUG
rnacentral:rRNA from 1 species